AAUAUUUGUUACAACUUGUUAGUUUAUGUUUUUGGCAAAUUGAAAUUAGCUGUUUGUCAUAAGCUUUAAGCUAACAAAGAUAAAUAGGUUAUCUAAAACAAAACUCACUGAAACAAAUCAUCAAUCAAAUUUGGCUGUAGCGGUUCAAUUAAAAAAGAUACUCCGUACAUUUUGACAUAUUCGAAAAAAUAUUGAUUUUGACCAACGUUUUACUACUGAGAACCACAUUGAAAAUCUUAUGUAACUUCGCACUUCCAUUUAUUUUUUUGUUUUUAAAAAUAAUCAGAGGUAGACUUAAUACUUAAUUAAUACUUAAUACUCAAUACUCAAAUUGAAUUUAUUUAUGUUUCCUAGGGUAAUUCAAACUCGAGCUUCUUCGGAACUACCCCCUGAAAUCAAAGAUUGACACAUCACUAGGAUAUAUUCCAAAUUUGAGCUCAUUCUGACCACGGGUUCCUAAAAAUAUGGUGUCUUGAGGAAAGUUUUUCUAAAAUUAAUGAAAGUUCUACAUCUGAGAAAUGGUUAGAAUCGGAUAACUAUUGCGCCCUCCAAGGGUAAAAAAGUGAAACAGUUGUCAUUCUCCAUACAUUUUAACGAUUUCUCCCAUACAAAUUUCAUACGAUUGGUCAGAAUGAGCUCAUAUUUGGAAUUAGGGUUUUUUUAACAAUAGCCAAAAUCUUGGUAAACAAGCAACUUCAACCUUUUGAACACCUAGCUUUGAGUAGGAAUCUUGCAGUAGAGUAUACCAAAGCCAUGUUGUAGAGCGCACACGCACAGAAAUUGUGUAAGUUUGAAACAACAAACAUGUUUCUUAACACCAGCAAUCAUGUUUUAUUAAGCGAACAAACCAUAUUUACCAGUUUAAUAAACAUAUUUUAUCAACACUACCAUGAUUUUUAUUGGUUUAACAAACCGGUUUGCCAUUUGCGCGUUUCUUUUUUCUAGCGUGUAGCAAAAUUUUACAGUGUACUUGUGAAAACUUUUCGCUGCUCAGAUCAAUAUGGCGGACGAAAGCGACUUCAAAGACGGAGUGGAAGUUAUGGGAGAAUUUGUGUUUAAAUGGCUGAGUCCAGAGGAAGUACAAGUAUUCAAUUUGUAAAGUGAGAUACUAGUGCAGGUAGAGGUGAUUUCAGCGUUCAAAAAUUAUCGAGCGAUCGGAAGUGGAAGUCUUGGUCCAGCCACCUUUCUUUUCUUAGAGGAUGGUGAAACGAUGGUUGUCUGCUUUUUCAUGAACAAUAAUCCGGAAAAUUUCAUUCCAGGGUCUCCAAGCGUUGACGACCGAAGCGUUCCUUCCAGCGGUCGAUCCGGAGACGACGGCACAAACCGUCGUCUAUCGAGAGCAGUGCACGGCCACUUACCUGCUUACGAACUUCUUAAGAGGCAUCGAUCAUUACAACUCAUCGGAACAGAUGUUUCUAACCCGGAAGAACCAAAUUGCGGUUACAAACAUUGCUAUGGUCAAGUUCUACUACCGGUUGCCGGACCAAGUUCGAAAAGUUUCUUCAGUGCUCUUAUCCAGAUUCUCAGAAGAAAAGGCGUCUAACUUCACUAGACGGCAAUUUCUCUGAAGAUAUUUAAAAUGUCACCGUGCUAUCGCUGCCGAAUCACUUUUUAUCGUGCAAACAUCCGUUCGGCAAGACUGCCAAAUCCAAACCCCUUACUUACGGAAAACUGUACUUUCUAUAUUGUAACUUGAAUGAGAGCAUUAACUGAAAAUAAAACAACUAAAUCCAACUUUUUUAUUGUUUGUAUUGAUUGAUUGGCUAGAUAAGAAAAAUAGUUAAAAGGAUUUAUUGAAUCUAAAAUCGUGAUGUUUCAUUUAACCCCACAUGUUUGUAGAUUCAACAAACAUGUUUGUUACACUGACCAUAAUGAUUAUUGGAAUUACAAACAAGCUACAUUUGAAUGGCAACUAUCUUGUUUAUCAAACCCACAAACUUGUUGGGUUGAAUUUGAUAAACAUGUUUGCUGGCCCUGAGAUGACAAUCAUGUUUGUGGGGAAACCCCAACAUUUUGCUGGAUGUACUAUCGGAUUU